rnacentral:lncRNA from 1 species
GAAAGAGGGAUACCUUAUAGUCCCCCUACUCGUGUCUCAAGUGCGCAUGCGCCUUCUCUUCAAAGAGGAACGAGGCAUUGUGAAAUGUAAUGACUUAAAGUAUGUAUUGGUGAUUCCAUAUGCAAAAAAUCCGUGUAAUUGAUCAAUUACAUUUGAACUCACUACAAAUAGAAAAAGGAAGAAAUCUAGAUGAAUAGUGUGUCGCAAUCGAAACCUUGUUUUUAUUUGUCUAUUUUAAUUUUUAUCUCAAGAUGCCAAAAACAAAUUUUCAACUCUUAAUGGAAAGUACAACUUGAAAUAAAGUAAUGGAAAUCAAAUUAUUACCGAAAAUUGGAAGGGAACGUACUCGGAAAUAUAGAGUACGACUGAAAGUAUUAAAAAUGAGUCGUUUACCAAUAUGAGAAGAAACAUUCAUAGUACUUGUAUAUGUGCAUUGUCACGCGUUAUCAGUAUUGAUGGAUUAUAUAUAAUCACACUCAAUAAUGACAUGACGUUUUAUCAUGGUCGGACACAAUCAACGGCGAUGGUAUUUUUACAAGAGAAGUUUCACAGACUUUUGGCUAAUUGUAUGGAUAUUACUGAUCAACAGAUGCUUUAGUUCAUUGGACAAACACAUGGACUGACGAUUUACACUUUUAAUUGUCAAAGUUUACGAGCUCAUGUUGCGGAUGCGUCGAACACUGUCUUACACAAUUUUAAUGUAAUAAUCUUUUCUGAGACUUGGCUGAAUAACCAUGAACAAAUCAGUUUGCCGAAUUUUAACUAUACCAUUCAGUAUAAAAGAUUGAAUUCUUGGGCAACAGGAGUUGCAGUAUACUAUAAUCAGAAUAAUGUAAAUCUGAUUACACCACGUAUAGAAGUUACUACUCAACAGUCACAAGUAUACACCGCAUCUACGACAUCGGUUGGUAAUAUUUGUAUUACUGAAUGUUAAACGAGAAAUAACAUAUAAUAGUUAUUAUUGGCGUUUAUAUCUCUUCGAAAUAGAAAGUGGAUGAUAUCUAUUUUCUGCAACAUUUAUUACUUGUAUAGAGUCGUGAUGAUGCUAAAAUUUUUGGUAGGAAGGAGGACUAGGUACAACUCAUACUAGCUGGAGAUUUCAAUGUUAAUUUUGCAUCCGAGAAUUUAGCAAAGCUUGUUGACUUUCUGUGGGAAAAAUUUCAUUUGCAAAUAAAUAAUGACUGCAAUAUCUCAACAAUGAAGUCUGGAACCACGAUGGAUGCUUUAUUCUCUCGAUUUUUAAACAAAAUCAAGUCGAGAACAUACAUAUAAUAUUUGUAUUCAGUCUGUUCUGUUUGUUGCCUUUUACAACACUUUCACUCACGAAUCCUCUUAAUGUACAUAUCUUUUGUAAAUUAAUAUAUCUGUCGAAUCUAAA